UUUUUUUUCUAACAGAUGAAGCAGUGCAUAAGCAUUUAUGAUGGGUGAAGCUGAUGUGUUGCAACGAAUAUCUCAUGCAGGCACUUUGGAUCCAACUCAACUCAUCACACAUUUAUGGUGCCAGAUGCCAAUUUGGAGAAGAAAGGGUCUUGUUCUCAUGAAGCUCACAGAGAAACAGCUGAACGGUCACCAGGUCAUGAAAUUCCACCGGGAAUGGGAAGAGCCUCUGGAGCAGCAUGCAAAGUCCUGCUAUCUGCAUUCUGUGGUUGGAGUGAGUUGGGUCAGCCCACCAAUGUAUUUCCUCAUUAGACAUUGA
rnacentral:lncRNA from 1 species